UAGUCUAACACAAACAUGUUAGGCCAAACGUUACCGUGUCUGGAGCCACUCACGUCGGUCCUGUUCCGUUUCGAUUAGUGUCUUUGGGUUUCGCGCCACAGGAAUAUAUAAGGGUCUACUCGCAGAAAUUGGUCGGUUACAUCUACGGUGGAAAGUUCACUUUUCUGUCCACAAAGACUGAAAAAACUCAAGAGAUGCGAAUGAGGCAGCAGAGGGCCGGGGAGUUUUUAAAGGGUUGUUGCCCCCCUCUGUUCUUUUUUGGCCAAUGAUUUCCUUCCAAAAAGAGAAGGGGGGAAAAUAUGAACAACCCUUUGCAGAACGAAAAGAAAAACAUUUCCCAAUUCCUGCUGGAAGCAUUUGAUAAUCUUGAUAUUCGUUGAGAUUGAGGAUGUUCUUGGAAGCUUAAAUUAUUGCCUUUUUGGUUUCUGCUUCUGCUUCUGUUACUCGAUGCAAUCUUCUUUGAUCGUUCUCGACAAAUGGCUUAAUUAUCAGCAGUUUACGAAAGCCUUCUGGUGUUUCGGUUUAGGGUUUAAGGUCGUGUUGGAUAUAGUUUUUGGCCGUGAUGAUAAAAAUCUUUUCUUGAGUUUGUUCGUGGUGGGGCAUGUGGAGUUUAAAUCCAACCCGUAUCUUGGCUGGGCAACCCGGAUGGCAUCUGAGCUGAAACGGGGGCAUGUGUUCUUUCUCAUUGACUUUUGCAACUGGGAUUUUGCAGCCAUGGCGGUGUUGUUGCUCCAUUUUGCCUCAUCCCACUACAUAUCUGAGCCUAGUUAAACUAUCUAUGGAAGUGAUGCCUUGGUGUCUUUUUAAAAUUCUCCGAUGAAAGGAUUGUCUGUCCGAAUUAUAUCAUUGCUAGAUGCCUAGGUUUUAGGUUUCUGAAAUGCUUGAGGAUUUAAUGAUAAAAAUCUAUUCUGGUGCUUGUAAUGGGGUCUGGAGUUCAAUCUGACCCAUAUCUUGGCUGGCAAACCGGAUUGCAACUGAGCUGAGAUGGGUUGGUUCUAUUUGUCUAAAUUCACUUAUGCAACUGGAAUUUUGUAGCCAUGGUGGUACUGACUCUACAUUUUGCCUCUUCUUAUUACAAGAUCUGAGCCUGGUUAAACCGUGCAUAUGAUGGUUUAUUACCUUGUCUAAACUCUUUAGUAUAUAGUUUGUCUAUUGGAUUUGUAGUUAUACUGGAUAUGCUGGAUUUACUUUCAAGGUCGCAUUUUCUUUCAAUAAUCUUGACCUAAAGUGGGAAAGAGACCCUGCUUUUGAUUGAAUAAUUCUGAACUUGCUCAUGAACAUCCAGACAUUGAUUCUGGUGGUCAUACAUACCUGUUUAGCAGAUCUUCUGCUGAAAGCCUUCAAAAGACUCUUCCAGUUGAUUACCUACCUCGAGGAGUUAGUCUUUUUCUGGUGUGCCAGUAUCAACCAACAUGGUUUUACCAGCUUAGCAAAAGGGUGCCCGUAAGUAAAAAGAAGAAAGAGCUUCUCUUGAGGCCUUAAGAGUUUUCUACAUUUUUCUCAAUCUUUCUCUUUCUGUUAUCGUCCUUAGACCAGUGAAAGUUGAGUUCUGUUGAUGAGCAUGUACCACACAUGUAAUUGUGUGGUUGAAUUCUUUCUUUGCUAUACUCUUGGCUGGAAGCAUCAUCUAUUUCUACUUGAGGUCAUUGAAAAUUUGGAAUGUUGAUUGUUCUGUCUUGUUAUAUGUUUGAUGAAUUAUGGUUCUUUGCUGAUAAUCAUGGCAAUGGUCGCCUAACAAGGAAAAGAAAGAAGAAAAAUUAAUCUUGGUAGUGUCAAUUUUCCCAAGGGUUGAGCUAUGUAUCUUAAGCAACCAACUUUGCGUCAAGCAAUGCAUAUUUCAUCUCAUUUAGUACUUCAAAUUGUAGAUGAGGGCCUAAAGGUCCUCAUAACUCUAUUAUUAAUCACAAACUAUUUUUUAUGCAUGUAGGAAUUCCAAGUAAUAGUUGGCUUUUAUAGAAAACAUGCCUUAGCUAGGAUUGAUAAAUCUUAAGAUAUUUUGUGCCUAUCAAUGGAAAACAAUCCUUCUGAAAAAAGAAAAAAAGAAAAAAGAAAUUGCACAUUUUGGAACUUAUUACACUCAUGAGCCGAGAUGAUUUCUAAAGUAAAACCUUCUUUGUGAUUUUAUUGUUAUGGAAGUCUUGUAAACUCCCCUCUAAAUGGGGUUUAAUUAGAAAGAGAUUUAGCCUUAUAUUUGUUUGAGAUGAAGUUUAGAUACAUUAUUGGAGGAGUUUUGCUUUUUCCAUGCUAGUUAAGAAUCAGAUGGACCUUUACGUGAAUGAGAAUUUUAACCAAGUCCACUGUUGUGAUGAUUGAUUUUAUUUAAAUUUAGGCUUUAAAUCACAUUAUUGUGGGAACGUCUGGGUUUUCCAUUCUAGUUAAUAAUCAGAUGGAUCUUUACAUUGGGAGAAUUUAAACCACCAGUUCACUGUUUUGGCAAUUUAGGGGACAAAAGCUUGCUAAAAGUUUGUUUUGAGCUCCAUUGAUUUUCAAAUUCCACAUUUAUGCAGGGUUAACGGAAUUGAAUUUGCUUUCAGUCAUGCAUUAUCUGACAAUUAAUUUCAUUUUGGUAGGGAAGUAAUAUGGACUGUGUUUUGCUAAAUGUUUGGUACGUGGAAAAUGUGUGUAGCUGUGAAUUAUACCUUGGUCCUUCAGUUGAGUUUAUUGGAUUAAAAGUUGCAGUUAGUGACAGUUAGCUGUCAGACAUCAUUGGAUCUGCACGAGCAAUCGUUUUGCACUUGUAGGAUUUUAAAACAGUUUUAUAGUUUGAGGAUGUUGAGCGAAAUUAUGUGUUUUACAUGUCCUGCCUGCUGCUCUAAUGUUGUUUUGAAUGGAUACACUUGAUUUGAAUAUCAUGGGUGAGUUUUAUUACUCUUUCAAGCUGCUUUUGGGAUGCGUUUGAAACAGAUUCCUUACAGGAUCUUAUAGCAUCUACCAGGUAUAAGAAGCGAGGGCAAUACAAUUCAGCUUCGGUUAAAUCCAGGAUUUGCAGCAUUUACAUUUUCAUGAUGGAUCACUGUGGUACAAAAGGAUAUGAUUGUAGUAGCCAGAGGGUAAUGAGUAGAUUUCUGAUUCCUUUUGUGGUGUAUUUUCUUGCUGAAGCAGCCCUUCCAAUGUGAGAGCCUCUUUUGUUGCUGCCGUAUGUAUGUUUGUUCAGGUUUUGUUUUUAAGAUGCAGAAGAGUGUAUCGACUACUGCUCAUAGGGGGAAUAGAGACAUGACAAUGUUGUGCAUUGCUGAGGCAAGAUGAAGGAAGUCAUUUUUGUAAGCUGAGGACUGACUGACUCCAUCCCUCUGAAGGAUGUACCAUUUAUCUCAUUUCAAACCAGGCUUCAACACGAAGUGCAUUUUGUAAAUCCCAAGUUUAUUUGUUCGUUUUCCAUAUAUCAUGGUUCAUGGAGAUUAACCAAUCAGGAGUUUGUAUACUGGUAAAAAGGCGAGGUUUGUGGGCCAAUCAGUGUCUGGUUUUCACUCUUCAGUAACAUUUGGUUGCUAUUGCAUUGAAUAUGGCUCUGAAGUUACCAUUGCAAUGGACAGUGGUAAAAUGUGAAGUUACUAUUGCAUCA